rnacentral:piRNA from 1 species
UUGACUCCUUCCUAGUUAUUUCAGUCCUGC